GACGCCGUGGCCGAGCGGUACAGGCGGCGGUUUGCAAAACCGUCUCAGGUGGGUUCGACUCCCACCGGCGUCUCCC
rnacentral:tRNA from 1 species